GAUGAACGCUGGCGGCGUGCCUAAUACAUGCAAGUCGAACGAAACUUCUUUAUCACCGAGUGCUUGCACUCACCGAUAAAGAGUUGAGUGGCGAACGGGUGAGUAACACGUGGGCAACCUGCCCAAAAGAGGGGGAUAACACUUGGAAACAGGUGCUAAUACCGCAUAACCAUAGUUACCGCAUGGUAACUAUGUAAAAGGUGGCUAUACUACCGCUUUUGGAUGGGCCCGCGGCGCAUUAGCUAGUUGGUAGGGUAAAGGCUUACCAAGGCAAUGAUGCGUAACCGAAUUGAGGGGUUGAUCGGCCCCGUUGGGACUGACCCACGGCCCAAACCCCUACGGGGGGCCGCAGUAGGGAAUCUUCCACAAUGGGGGAAACCCUGAUGGACCAACGCCGGGGGGGUGAAGAAGGUCUGCGGUCCGUAAACCCCUUUUGUUAGAGAAAAAGGUGGUUGGGGGAAACUUUUCCGGUUUCGCGGGUAUUUAACCAGAAAGCCCCCGCUAACUACGU
rnacentral:rRNA from 1 species